CAAGAGAUAGUUUAAUAAAAAUAUUAAUUUUGGGGAUUAAUGAUAAAGAAUUUUCUUUUCUUUUGA
rnacentral:tRNA from 1 species